AGGACCCAAUUUUCUUUCGGUCCAGAUAUUGAAACCAUAAAAACCCCAAAUUUCCCCCUUUUUUCUCUUACGAUUUAAAGGAUCCUUCGAAGGCGUUAAUAUUCAUGUGGAAUUUGUGGUAUCGAAAAUUAAAAUUCAGAAAUCACAUGAUCAGUUCCCUGGUAAUUCUGUCAAAACCUAAACAAAAACCGAAUACUAUUGUGUUUUUACUCCAAUGUUUUUAUCCUUGCAAUUCUGAUGGUCAAUUGUAUUUCUGCAACUGUGCAACAUUCACAAGAGUUUCAUUAUCAUUAUCACGAGAGUUUCAUAAUCAAUCGUGAGAAAUCGGUGUCUCGUUUUGGAUUGACUUCCCGCAUUUUCCUCUUCCGAAUGUUUGGCAGGUGACAUCCUGUUCCACAUGCAUGUCAUUAGAUCCCUCGUUUGCCGGCACAAAUCUAUAUUACUGUUUUAACGAUUUAUCUUGGUGAUAGAGAUGAUCAUCCUUGUGUCAGCAUAUUCCAAUGCAAUGACCAUUUUUUGAGAACCAUCUUUAUGCAUCUUUCCCGUCCCACUGCUUCCAAACGUGUUUCUUUGCUGGAUGUUCAAUCCCUUAAAUAGCCGUAAUAAGUCUUCAGAAAGUGGUGUCUUGUUGUACUCUCGUUCUUCAUGGUUGAUCCUGUUUUCUUUAUUUUGUCGAAGAAGAAUAUCCUCGGAUGGUAGUCUCCAAUAUUCUGGUUCCACAGUUCCGCUGGAUUUUUUUACUUCGCAAAACAAUAAUAGUGUAUGACAUUUCACGUAAUGUAAGAACUUGAUGGAUCCCCAAGAACUUGCCUCUUCAAUCACUUCUUGUCGUUCAUGGUCGUCAUCCAUAUUUCUAGGAUUUGGGAAUGUAAACUGAGGUUUUGCUGAUUGAGUUGGUUAGUCUGUGUAUUUACAAUUUGCGAAACGAUGUGAUAUCCCCACAGGUCAUAAUUAGAGGUUGCGACUGUAUCCAGAUGGUAUGCGACUUUUCUUUGAUUCUGUAAGACGGAAUUUGAAGAGAUACGAAUUGUAUCUAACAGUUAAUCACUAUGGGGUGUUCGUUUGGAGUCUUCCAAACCGAUGAAGGUUCUGCAUCCCUGAAAGGAUGCUAUCUUUGGAAAGUGACUCUUCAAAUGGCCAAAUGGAUCGGACUCCUGAAUAAGUGGUUAGUGGUGGCUAAUAAGACGUUGCUGGCAAGGAAAGCUAUCACUGAUGUGGCUUCAUCAUAUUCAAGAUUGAUUGUGGGUACGACAUGUGGUUUUUUGGGAUCUCUUAUUAUAAAGAAAGAUGGAUAAAAUCGUGUACAUCACAAAUUAUUUUAGGAUAAAACUAGUUUUAUCCUAGUUUAAACAUGGAUGGAAACAAAUAUAACUGAAUCUAAAACAGGAUGAUACCAGUUUCGUACUUGUUUAAACUGGAUGAAACAAAUUCAACCAAAUCUAAAAUAAGAUGCAAUCAGUUUCAUGUUAGUUAAAUAUGAAUGAAAAUAAAUUUAACCAA